AUGAAAAACUACCCCAAUAAGACUCCACGCACAUUUCGGUCUCUUCAAGGUCGUUGGGAGAACAUCAAGCCUAUGUGCAGCCGUUGGGCAGCUUGCUUGGAGCAAGUACGCAAGGCACCUCCAAGUGGCACCGUGGAGUCCGACUAUGACAAGAUUGCUCAACAUAGAUACAAGGACAUGGAAGCUUUGGAAGGCAGAUUCUUCAAAUUAGAGCAUUGUUGGGAGUUGCUCCAAAAGUGCGACAAGUGGAAGUUGAUCGACAAAGAGUCCCCACCAAAGAGAGGCUCACUUACAAACAUGGACGAAGAUGAGGAUGAUGAUGGCCCAAGAAAUUUGAACAAGCGCGAUGGCGACAAGAAGACUAGAGAGAAGAUAAAAAGAGAGCAAGAAGCAUCGAGCUUGAGGGAGAAGAUUGAUGCCAUGGUGCAAUCAAACGAGUUGAUGUUGUUGAAGUCGUUGGAGAUCAAGAAAGAGUUGGCCGAAAAGAAGGCAAAAAAGAAGCAAGAAAAAUGGCAAACGCUCAAGGAAGAGGGAUUGCGCAGAGCUGCCAUCGAGGAGAGAAAAGCACGCGCCUCUGAAAACAAAUCGCUGUCAUUGUUGCUCGCCGAAGAGAACAAGAUCAUGUCAAUGAACCGCAAUGACAUGGACGACGUCACCAAAACAUGGCAUGAUAUGGCAAGGAGAGAGAUCUUGAAGAGGAGAAUGGUCGCCUCGACCGGUCCGUCUGCCAGUUCCGGUGAUGUUUUCUCUGCUCCAUAUGGUGGCAAUGUGGAUGAUUUCGGUGCGGGAGUUGGAACAAGCGACGGAGGUGGCUACGGUGGCGCCGAUGAACUUCAAGAUGGACUCCAUGGCGCGGAGCGAAGAUCGACCCCCAAAAUGAUGCCGGACAUGGGCGCAUACCUUUGCAUGCCCUCUUUUGCGUAA
rnacentral:rRNA from 1 species